rnacentral:rRNA from 1 species
UACGGAGGGGGCUAGCGUUGUUCGGAAUUACUGGGCGUAAGGCGCACGUAGGCGGCUUUGCAAGUUAGAGGUGAAAGCCCGGGGCUCAACCCCGGAAUUGCCUUUAAAACUGCAUCGCUAGAAUUGUGGAGAGGUAAGUGGAAUUCCGAGUGUAGAGGUGAAAUUCGUAGAUAUUCGCAAGAACACCAGUGGCGAAGGCGGCUCACUGGCCCGAUACUGACGCUGAGGCACGAAAGCGUGGGGAGCAAACAGG